CCCCGCGGCUGUUACAGGAGAGUUUACACCUAAACCGAGCAGAGAGAUCGGCUGCCAGACGGAACCAGUCAGCACAAAACAUGCUGCUGGACAGGUUAACGUGACUCCGAGCAGGAGGAGCAAAGCGACUCAGGCCCAAACUACUGACACGAGUAUGUCAUCUGACACAAUCACUGUCGUGGCGGGCUCUUGACGAACGAUAAUACACAUCCCUCCACUGAAUCCCCUCGUACAGCAACUGAUUACCUCGUUAAGAUGUGUCCCGUUUGCAGCCGGAGCUGUACCAUUUUUAAAACGGUUAUUGGGACGCUCCUCCAGGUGAUGCAGAGCUGUCCUCACUGCGAGUUCCUUCAGCAGUGGUCCAGUCAGCCGAUGGCAGACAACACGGCGACCUGAGAGUCUGUCUCUAUCUCACACCGACAACCAACGACAGUCAGCUCUUGGGACAGAUCACGUUCGGAGGUCGACGUCCCUGUGAUGUCUUCAUCAGCUUGAGAGUAAAGGACAGAAACAGGAGCUCGGUACCGGGUCAGAUGUGAGCAGUCGUCCCUCAUGGAGACGUGUGUGACUGUAUCAAGG